UCGCUAGUAAUCGCGAAUCAGAAUGUCGCGGUGAAUACGUUCCCGGGUCUUGUACACACCGCCCGUCACACCAUGGGAGUUGGUAACGCCCGAAGUCAGUGACCCAACCGUUUACGGAGGGAGCUGCCGAAGGCGGGACUGAUAACUGGGGUGAAGUCGUAACAAGGUAGCCGUAUCGGAAGGUGCGGCUGGAUCACCUCCUUUCUAAGGAA
rnacentral:rRNA from 1 species